rnacentral:rRNA from 1 species
GACGAACGCUGGCGGGAUGCCUAACACAUGCAAGUCGAACGGAGUGGCGAACGGGGGAGUAAUGUAUGGGAACGUGCACAGUAGCGGGGGAUAACUACGAGAAAGAGAAGCUAAUACAGCAUAAGUGUGGAGCGGCCGAUAUAGGAGUAGCUAGUUGGUGGGGUAACGGCUCACCAAGGCGACGAUCCGUAGCUGGUUUGAGAGGACGACCAGCCACCCUGGGACUGAGACACGGCCCAGACUCCUACGGGAGGCAGCAGUGGGGAAUUUUGGACAAUGGGCGAAACCCUGAUCCAGCCAUCCCGCGUGUGCGAUGAAGGCCUUCGGGUUGUAAAGCACUUUUGGCAGGGAAGCGGUACCUACAGAAUAAGCACCGGCUAACUACGUGCCAGCAGCCGCGGUAAUUC